rnacentral:lncRNA from 1 species
UAUUACAAAACGCAUAAUUCGUUGGUGUAGUACUUUGUCCCAGCAAUAAUAACCAGUUGGGCUUAACUACCGACCCAAAAUAUUUAUGCUCAGUUAUUAUUAUUAGCGUGUAGGCCUCAUAUAAACUGAUCGGAAUUAGUAUCUCAUCCGAUGUGAGACUAUUAGGACGUUACAAGCAUGCUACCCGUUUUGUUUAUUUCAUUUAGAAAUAAACUUAGCUGGAAAUGUGAAUCAACUAGAAUUCGAACUUGGGUCUCGGAUACCAACCACUAAGUCCUUUUGCCACUUGCACUAGAAACGGUCGGCCCUUUC